GAUGAACGCUGGCGGCGUGCCUAAUACAUGCAAGUCGAGCGAACAGACGAGGAGCUUGCUCCUCUGACGUUAGCGGCGGACGGGUGAGUAACACGUGGAUAACCUACCUAUAAGACUGGGAUAACUUCGGGAAGCCGGAGCUAAUACCGGAUAAUAUAUUGAACCGCAUGGUUCAAUAGUGAAAGACGGUUUUGCUGUCACUUAUAGAUGGAUCCGCGCCGCAUUAGCUAGUUGGUAAGGUAACGGCUUACCAAGGCAACGAUGCGUAGCCGACCUGAGAGGGUGAUCGGCCACACUGGAACUGAGACACGGUCCAGACUCCUACGGGAGGCAGCAGUAGGGAAUCUUCCGCAAUGGGCGAAAGCCUGACGGAGCAACGCCGCGUGAGUGAUGAGGGUCUUCGGAUCGUAAAACUCUGUUAUUAGGGAAGAACAAAUGUGUAAGUAACUAUGCACGUCUUGACGGUACCUAAUCAGAAAGCCACGGCUAACUACGUG
rnacentral:rRNA from 1 species